GACUUAAGAUGGCGGCGUUUGCACGGAGUGCAAUCACUGCGUCCUUACGGGGGUUGCAAGGCGUCCGAAUCUCUUCAAAAUAUCGGAGAAUAAUUUCUUUCUCGCUGAUCGCCUAACUUCUACUGACGAAGCUAGGAAGUUGCAGAAGAUGGAGUUCGCUCUUGUUGCCCAGGCUGGAAUGCAAUGGCAUGACCUUGGCUCACUGCAACCUCUGCCUCCCCAGUUCAAGUGAUUCUCCUGCCUCAGCCUCCCGAGUAGCUGGGAUUAUAGGUACUGGCUCCUGUAUCACCCAGCUCUGGAGUUGAAAGAGCUCUUCAUUCCUGAGUCUCCUGUACCACUGAGAAUAGGCUGGAGUGCAGUGGCGCAAUCUCGGCUCUCUGCAACCUUCACCUCCUGCGUUCAAGUGAUUCUCCUGCCUCAGCCUCCUGAAUACCUGAGAUUACAAGCAUGCACCACCAUGCCCGUCUAAUUUUGUAUUUUCACUAGAGAUGGGGUUUCUCCAUGUUGGUCAGGCUGGUCUCGAACUCCCGACCUCAGGUGAUCCGCCCGCCUCAGCCUCCCAAAGUGCUGGGAUUACAGGCAUGAGCCACCACGUCCAGCAAGAAUAGGUGAUUUUCAAACUUGGAAACAUUCAGAAGUUAUCUCCUCAGUUUCAGAUUGAGUAGUCUCAAAGAGAUUACAGGCAUCUACCACAAAUUCUCUACUUGGUGUGGUGCAAAAUCAGUAUGAUGUAAACUUUGUCUCUCAGUUUCUUCAAAGGAA
rnacentral:lncRNA from 1 species